rnacentral:misc_RNA from 1 species
GAUGAAGAACGUAGCGAAAUGCGAUAAGUAAUGUGAAUUGCAGAAUUCAGUGAAUCAUCGAAUCUUUGAACGCACAUUGCGCCCGCCAGUAUUCUGGCGGGCAUGCCUGUCUGAGCGUCAUUUCAACCCUCAUGCCCCUAGGGCGUGGUGUUGGGGAUCGGCCAAAGCCCGCGAGGGACGGCCGGCCCCUAAAUCUAGUGGCGGACCCGUCGUGGCCUCCUCUGCGAAGUAGUGAUAUUCCGCAUCGGAGAGCGAUGAGCCCCUGCCGUUAAACCCCCAACUUUCCAAGGUUGACCUCAGAUCAGGUAGGAAUACCCGCUGAACUUAAGCAUAUCAUAAGCGGAGG